rnacentral:lncRNA from 10 species
UCUGUCUCAAAAAACAAAAACAACAAAAAAAGGGCUCGGACCAUCGUCUGAGGCCCCCUCCCCAUGUCCUCUUGUUGUUUUGAUUGGAAGUCAUAAAACACAUCAGUGUAAAUAUAGUAUUUAUUUUUGCAUAUCUUUUUAAAGCUGCAUAUCUUUAAAGCUGGUGGAGUUUUUUGAGGGGAGCAAGUUUCAUGACCACAGCAAGGGCAGGCUCCAGUGAGCACUUCACGCCACCUGGAUGUGCUGCAGACUGCACCACCCCCAGCCCACCGGCCAGACUGGCUGCCCUGGAGAAGGCUUAGUGGGUAGUCCCCUGGGCCUGGACCACGGCUGUCCCUGCACCCGCGAGGGGAUGGGGGGAGUGGGGCACAUGCCUCCUGGAUGCGAGGGUGGCUGCCGUCCCCCCUCCCCUGGAAGCAUCUCAUUUCUUCCUUUAUAAUCUGAGCGAGAUGGGGCUGGAAGAAGUGGCUGUAGCCCCAGCACUUUAGGAGGCCAAAG